AUAUUCCACAUGAUUGAUAAGUGGUUGCUAGGCAGUUGCUAACAUUUUUCAGGUGGUUGCUAAGCUGUUGCUAUUUGGUUGCUAGGCAGUUGCUAUCAUUUCUAAAGUGGUUGCUAAGUGGUUGCUAGGCAGUUUCUAACGUUUUCCUAGUGGUUGUUAAGGUGUUGCUAAGUGGUUGCUAGGCAGUUGCUAUCGUUUCUAAAGUGGUUGCUAAGUGGUUGCUAGGCAGUUGCUUUCAUUUCUAACGUGGUUGCUAAGCUGUUGUUAGGCAGUUCCUAACGUUUUCCUGGUGGUUGCUAAGGUGUUGCUAACUGGUUGCUAGGCAGUUGCUUUCAUUUCUAACGUGGUUGCUAAGCUGUUGUUAGGCAGUUCCUAACAUUUUCCAGGUGGUUGCUAAGUGGUUGCUAGGAAGUUGCUAAUGUAUUCCAGGUGGUUACUAAGUGGUUGCUAGGCAGUUGCUAACGUUUUCCAGGUGGUUGCUAAGGUGGUUGCUAAGCAGUUAAUAAGUGGUCGCUUAGCCCUGGCUGGUGUGCCGGGGUGUCCAAACUUUUGACUGAUAGCUGCUCCAUACAGCAGCUCCUCCAUACACUCACUGUACUGGAGGAGCAGGGGAGAGAAGGGGUUCCGUGCGCAGAGCUGCUCAUGUGCGAGAUGGAACUCUGGGAAAACUAUUAAUUUAAAGAUCUCGAUAAGAUCUAUAAGCUCACCGAAUUUGGUGUUCGUAUCUCAAAAGUUGGGGCGGUUACGGAUGUUUAAAAUUUCGCCCCAUUCAUUCCUAUGGGAAACAAAUGCGUACGAUUACGAAGUUUUACGAAAACCGUACGAUGUACCGCUUCAAAAAGCACAAGCAACCUAAUCGGGUAUAGGUCCUACGAUACUGAAAAAUUUUGUGAUUCUACGUAGGGUUGUCACGAUACCAAACUUUUGACUUCGAUACCGAUACUAACUGUAGUAUCACGAUUUUCGAUACUAAAACGAUACUUGGAAGAAGAAAAAAACUAAAAAAAUAUCUGAACAUAAAAUGUUUAUUUUUGACUGAACUGGAUUGAACACUGAACAACACCGAUUGAACAAUCGGUGCAAACGUUUUUAUUCUAAAAUUAAACAUUUGAACAAAAAACAAGUUUCGUUAUUAUAACCUUAACUAUAACAUAAUUAUCUAAACACUUCCUAAAAAACUAAAACCAAAACCAGAGGUAAUGGUAGCCUGACUAUGUGAACCUGACGGGCGGGCAGAAGUUAAGUUCUGAAUAAGGAAAAUAAAGAGACAGAAGAACAUUACAAUGUUAUGUUCAUUUUAACACUUACUGCUCCGUUUUAUUAAUCAACCGUUUACCGUUUUUAAUAAGCCCAUGUUCAGUGUACAGACAGAGUGUAUCUUGACUAACUCCACUAACCUGUCGACUUCUCAGCUCUUUGUAGAGAUCAGGGUGCUUGUCUGCUUAAUGCUCAGCCAGGUUGCUGGUGUUCCCUCCUCUGUAGAGGUUAGAUCGGGCCCAAAAAAUCCGACCCGACCCAGCCCGAGCCCGUGCACGUUCUGCCCGAGCCCGACCCAACCCAAACCAUAAACUGGCUGUUUUCAGGCUGUUUGAAUGAGCGAAAUAUGAUCAGAAUUAUGUUAAAUAAUACUGUAACAAAGAAGCAUAGAACUAUUAUUUAAUUAAAAUGAUUUUUCUAAACACAGUGCUGCAGGUCAAACGCGGAGGCGUUCACGUGCGAGAGAGAGAGAGAGACACAGAGAGAGAGACACACACAGAGAGAGACACAGCGAGAGUGAGAGAGAGAUUUGCGUGUUCUGAUGUGAGCUACUCACAGGUAAAGGUUCUCUUUGAUCUCCUCCUGCUCAUAUUCUAGUCCCACACAUAACGCUUCGCGGAUAGAAUCGGCACAACACCCCCCGCUGUACAACUGCGGGAGUGAAAACAGCGUUUAUAAAUAAAGUAGUUUAGUUUCACUUUCAGUUUUCGUUAUUUU